ACAUCCUAGUUUUGCUUUUAAAACGAAAGUUUGACUGGGGUACAUUCACAAAAAGACCCUAGGUUGCAUUUUGGCAAGAGUUGCGCUUUAAAUCAAAUAUUACAAAAA